GCUGAAGCUAUGUCAUUUAUUUCUAACAACAAAAAAAGAAUUUCAUAUAAUGUUAAAUGUACUGGGCAGACAAAACUCAACCAAAAUGAAAUCUCGGUUGAACAUGAAAAUAACAUUUGAUAUUAUAUUUUUGCACGAAGAACUCCUUCAACCCUACUAUAUUGUUUAAGUCUGUACAAACUCAGGCUAUGUCGACCAUAUGUUACUAGUUGUCCAACUAUCUUUUGUACGUCAGUUUUUCCCGAAGGAAUCAGAUGUUUGGGGUUAAUGUGAUUUGUUAUGAUAUGGGUUAGUUUUAGGGAUUUCUGUUAUCCAUUUAUAUGUAUUAUUAUAUAUUUGUAUUACGCAAAUUAAACUUGUGUUAUUAUACAAUAGAUAAUAAAAUUUUACAAAUAUUUGAUUGAUUUAUGAUAUAUAGUUUCUAAUAUACGAGGGUACCACAAGUCUGGUAGACAUAACUCUUAACAUAGAAAUAUGGAGUCUGAGAAUGUGUUUAUUAAAAUUUGCUUUGGAAAACAUUUUUAAAUUAGGAAACAUAAAACCAAAUAUUUCCAUUUGAUGAGUGUUUAUUUAUUUCAUAUUCUCAGUCACUUCAAUAAAAAAAAACAGAUGCUCCGCAGGGCGCAGCUUUAUACGACCGCAGAGGUUGAACCCUGAACGGUUGGGGCAAGUAUGGACACAACAUUCAAGCUGGAUUCAGCUCUAAAUUUGGAUUGUGAUUAAAUAGUUGACACAGCAUAGGUUUCUGACACAGAAUGAAUGUGGUUUAAUUAACUUAAAAUUUAUUGUUUGCCUGUGAGCAAUUCACUAUGCUGUUGAAUAUUAAACCUCUCAAAAAAAUGUUUGAAGAAAUUUUCUUUUUAUUUAUAAAAGCAGAAAUGAGAAAAAUUACCCCGACCCCCCCACCCCACCCCGAUUUUUUUUCACAUGCCCCUUUCCCUUAUUCCAAAACUGAUCUCAAAUCAAAUUACUAAUGGGGUUUGCAACAAUAACUACUCAUUUAAAUACAUCAUAAAAUAUUAAAAUGUAAAAAAAGUGCUUGUUAUCACUGAAUGGUAAAGAUUGUUUUAAUUUAUCAGUUGUUAGUAAAAGUGAAUAUACAUUGUAUAUUGUAUAAAACAAUGAUUUAAG
rnacentral:lncRNA from 1 species